rnacentral:lncRNA from 1 species
AUUCCAUUAUGUAUCCAGAGAUGAGUAUACUCUACAUGUAUCAAUCAAUAUGGAAGUUUGCCUCUAUACGGUUUAUAAACUAAACUUAUUUAUAUAUUUUCAAAAAGUUAGAAAUGUAAGAAUAAUCAAACUGCAUAUGCAAACUACGCACUAAAUUAAUUGUAAUAUGACAAAAAAAAUAAUAGAACAUUGAAAAAUCAACAUCUCUCAGUGGUCAUAAGUCCAGCAAGAGAUAUUUUGAUAUGCAGACAGAUGUUUCAUCCAAAUUUUAAUUUACUACUGUUACCGUUUGUUUUAUAAUAUGGUGUUAAUGAUAUAUGCAACUGUUGCGUUUUUGGAGGUCAUAUUUGCAAGAAGAUAGGAUUACUGCUACACUACUUUUGUAUUGCGUUAUAACUCAUAUUUUCUUCUUAAAAUGUUGUAAUCUUCCUUAUGAGUAGCUGUUAUAUUUUUAAGGGUAACUAUAUUAUAUCAUUUUAGAUCAAGACUAUUGUCGUUUAUAAAUAUUAAAAGCGUAUCAAUUGAUUAAGACACAUCAAGGUUCUUUCCGGUAAUGGCAUAUUGUCAUAGUUUGUAAUAUUGUUAAAUUUUCAAGUUCAUAAAUAUUUAGUAACAC